UACGAAGGGGGCUAGCGUUGUUCGGAAUUACUGGGCGUAAAGCGCGCGCAGGCGGCUAUCCAAGUCAGUGGUGAAAGCCCGGAGCUCAACUCCGGAACUGCCAUUGAAACUGUUUAGCUUGAGGACGAGAGAGGUGAGUGGAAUUCCGAGUGUAGAGGUGAAAUUCGUAGAUAUUCGGAAGAACACCAGUGGCGAAGGCGGCUCACUGGCCCGUUACCGACGCUCAGGCGCGACAGCGUGGGGAGCAAACAGG
rnacentral:rRNA from 1 species